GUGGGGAAUCUUAGACAAUGGGCGCAAGCCUGAUCUAGCCAUGCCGCGUGAGUGAUGAAGGCCCUAGGGUUGUAAAGCUCUUUCAGCUGGGAAGAUAAUGACGGUACCAGCAGAAGAAGCCCCGGCUAACUCCGUGCCAGCAGCCGCGGUAAUACGGAGGGGGCUAGCGUUGUUCGGAAUUACUGGGCGUAAAGCGCGCGUAGGCGGACUGAAAAGUUGGGGGUGAAAUCCCGGGGCUCAACCUCGGAACUGCCUUCAAAACUAUCAGUCUGGAGUUCGAGAGAGGUGAGUGGAAUUCCGAGUGUAGAGGUGAAAUUCGUAGAUAUUCGGAAGAACACCAGUGGCGAAGGCGACUGACUGGACAAGUAUUGACGCUGAGGUGCGAAAGCGUGGGGAGCAAACAGGAUUAGAAACACGGGUAGUCC
rnacentral:rRNA from 1 species